rnacentral:lncRNA from 1 species
AAAGGGCAUUGAUAGAAAUCUCCAUAAUCCCUUCUUCCUCUUCUUCUUCUUAAGUUUCUGAUAAUUUUCCUUCGCCGUCUACCUUCAUCUCUUCCUCAUCAAUCAGCAUAAAAUUAAGCAUUCUAUUCUUGCAUAUGUGUCCUGGGGUGUACUUCUCAUCACACUUAAAACAGAGUUCCAAACUUCUUUCGGUUUGAAGGUCGGAAGGGGUAAUGGUUUUAAGUUUCAAUAGAUGUGUUUGAUUUUUUUGGCUUGGGUCAGUG